rnacentral:rRNA from 1 species
GUCGAACGGACUCAUAUUGAAACCUAGUGAUGUAUGAGUUAGUGGCGGACGGGCCCGUAACGCGUGGAGAACCUGCCGUAUACUGGGGGAUAACACUUACAAAUAGGUGCUAAUACCGCAUAAGCGCACAGCUUCGCAUGAAGCAGUGUGAAAAACUCCGGUGGUAUACGAUGGAUCCGCGUCUGAUUAGCUUGUUGGCGGGGUAAAGGCCCACCAAGGCGACGAUCAGUAGCCGGCCUGAGAGGGUGAACGGCCACAUUGGGACUGAGACACGGCCCAAACUCCUACGGGAGGCAGCAGUGGGGAAUAUUGCACAAUGGGGGAAACCCUGAUGCAGCGACGCCGCGUGAGUGAAGAAGUAUUUCGGUACGUAAAGCUCUAUCAGCAGGGAAGAAAAUGACGGUACCUGACUAAGAAGCCCCGGCUAACUACGUGCCAGCAGCCGCGGUAAUACGUAGGGGGCAAGCGUUAUCCGGAUUUACUGGGUGUAAAGGGAGCGUAGACGGCAGCGCAAGUCUGGAGUGAAAUCCCAUGGCUUAACCAUGGAACUGCUUUGGAAACUGUGCAGCUGGAGUGCAGGAGAGGUAAGCGGAAUUCCUAGUGUAGCGGUGAAAUGCGUAGAUAUUAGGAGGAACACCAGUGGCGAAGGCGGCUUACUGGACUGUAACUGACGUUGAGGCUCGAAAGCGUGGGGAGCAAACAGGAUU